AUAAGCCUGGGAAACUGGGUCUAAUACCGGAUAGGACCACACACUUCAUGGUGAGUGGUGCAAAGCUUUUGCGGUGUGGGAUGAGCCCGCGGCCUAUCAGCUUGUUGGUGGGGUAAUGGCCCACCAAGGCGACGACGGGUAGCCGGCCUGAGAGGGUGACCGGCCACACUGGGACUGAGAUACGGCCCAGACUCCUACGGGAGGCAGCAGUGGGGAAUAUUGCACAAUGGGCGCAAGCCUGAUGCAGCGACGCCGCGUGAGGGAUGACGGCCUUCGGGUUGUAAACCUCUUUCAGUAGGGACGAAGCGAAAGUGACGGUACCUACAGAAGAAGGACCGGCCAACUACGUGCCAGCAGCCGCGGUAAUACGUAGGGUCCGAGCGUUGUCCGGAAUUACUGGGCGUAAAGAGCUCGUAGGUGGUUUGUCGCGUUGUUCGUGAAAACUCACAGCUUAACUGUGGGCGUGCGGGCGAUACGGGCAGACUAGAGUACUGCAGGGGAGACUGGAAUUCCUGGUGUAGCGGUGGAAUGCGCAGAUAUCAGGAGGAACACCGGUGGCGAAGGCGGGUCUCUGGGCAGUAACUGACGCUGAGGAGCGAAAGCGUGGGUAGCGAACAGGAUUAGAUACCCUGGUAGUCCACGCCGUAAACGGUGGGUACUAGGUGUGGGUUUCCUUCCUUGGGAUCCGUGCCGUAGCUAACGCAUUAAGUACCCCGCCUGGGGAGUACGGUCGCAAGACUAAAACUCAAAGGAAUUGACGGGGGCCCGCACAAGCGGCGGAGCAUGUG
rnacentral:rRNA from 1 species